ensembl:lncRNA
UUUUAGAAAUACAUGUACUAUGUGCAAGAAUUUAAAUUCUUAUUAUUAUUUUAAGUCUGUCUCGAUAAUGAUGAAUAUCUGAAAAUGUGCUUUGAUGACAAUGGCAUUAACAAGUGUAUAUCAGGAAAAGAGGGAAAAGGCCUGUUAAAGACCCCCAUUGUCGAAAAACUCAGAUGUUCGUGAUGGUUGUUUUGCUUGAAAAAUACCUGACCAACUGAUAAUGACAAACCUGUAUUGAUUAAUUACCUGUGAACUGAUCAAUUUAUUGAGUGAUUGCUUCAGCGCUAACACUUUGAGCUGCUGAUAUAGAGGUCUCACUGGUAUGUGAGAUGAAUGGACCUUCUCACUGAGCCCCUGCAGUCCCAGUUUCCACUGUUUCCUUCUUUGAUUCUUUCCAGAAACCGGACAGAGCAACAAUGCAUAUUUUUACUUUUCUGAAGUGGUUUUGGAGGCGGGGCCCUGCAGAGAGGCUUGUUUGCUUUGUGCUUCCAGGGGUUGCCAGGGGUCUGCGCCUGGACUGCUGCCACUGUGGAGCUGAAGACCCCUGAGCUGACGAGUCAGCCGGGGGAGAAAAAAAAGAAAGUGUUGUGCAGCAGUGGCGACCAGCUCACAGCGAAGGCAAACGCAGCCGGACAAAAGGGUUUGAAAUACAUUCUGGCAUCUUAGUGAGUCGGCUCUAAAAAAAAAAAAAAUGUAAAAAUAAAAAACUCUGGAGCUGCUUUGAAAUCUGUCGAACAUUCAGUUCAACGAAGAAAAAUGUUCUUUGUUUGGACCAGACUUUAGAUCAAACAAAAAGAAUUCUAGGAUAUAAGAGCCUUCGAAAAAUCACUCUUGACCAACAGCUAUUGAUUUCAUUUAUCAGGAGUAUUGAUAAGGACUAACCGAUGACUUACGCUCAUCAGCCAGUCCUCGUCUUUACCGGCACAAUGCGUCCCACUCAGCAGGAGGGUUUCCCGCCAGUGCGCACACACACACACACACACACACACACACACACACACACAGCAGCUUUCCCCCGUUGAGCUGCCACUUCCUCACAGAUGGAUGAACACCGUAAACGACUGAAUGGUGGAACCCACCUUCCUGCACCAUCUCCUGACCACACAACGCACCGUCAUGCUGUCCUUCCGGGGACCUCCUAACGUCCAUCCCUCAUCUCUCACUGCUUCCAUGUUAUCGCGCAGUCCCUCCCUUUGAUCUCCCCCUGAAUGGACCAGGCUGUUCCUCUAACUGCUUACCUAACACACCUGUAAUCACCAUGGGUACAAGCCCCGGCUUGGCAGGCUGGCAAGGAGGGAGCACCGGUACGCGGCACGCCUUUGCUAAACAAAUGCCUCAGCCUCACCUUCCAGCGGGUACAAGCGGUGAACUCGGAGCUGGGAGGGGAGAUAAUAUGCUUCCAUCCACACUCCAUUACCAGAAGUGCUGCAGAAGGGGUUUUUUGUUUUAGAAAAGUUUGGAUUUGGAGCGUCCAGUCCAAAGUGAGAGGUGGAGACCCUUAAGAGAGGUGGUCCUCAAGCUCUGUUGGGUCAACCAACAAGCAGUGGGUCUCAUGGGUUGGCAAAAAUGAAACUAAGUGUCGGAGCAGCGCGCUGAAGACAUUUGCUGCUGGGUCAGUGACGAGGGGAAAAAAACAAACACAAUAGUGUUCAUUGUCAUCAGCUGUGAGAAGCACUGUAGGUCUUAAAUUACCUAUUGCUUAGGAUCCCUUAAGGGCAAGCAAAGCAAAUCUCCCACACCUAGUUUUUCCAUGCAUGUACUCAACCUGGAUCAUCUGCCGACCAUUUAAACCUCACGUUAUCUGAUCACAGUGGUUCUUUAUGGGGACAAUUUUCUUCAUUUUAAAGACUGAUCUGAUAGUUUCCUUGUAUUGAAGCAAAGGCAGUAAACUAAUCAGACCGCACCUUCAAUUAAAUGUACUGAGAUCCUUAAACGUCGAUGAAUCAAUCUUGGGGACUUUUUAAAAGUCCACUAAACUUUAUUCUAUUAUUUUCCACGCUAAAACAUGGGGCCCAAUUCAAACAUAUACAAGGGUAUAAAAAAAAGCACUUUUCUGACCAAACUCUAAAGGCUAUAAAGACAGAAAAAAACCCAAAAUGUUUCUCCUACCUUAACGAACUUGUACGAGGCAGAAGGUUCGGUUCACCCUCUCUCCAUUUGAAGCGUCUCCCUGCUGCGUCCUUUUCUCUCCAACUCAAAACUUUCCGCGUCCGGAGGGAAACUUCAGGUGAACCAUUUCCUUGAAAAAGGCAGUUGAAGGGAAGCGAUUGGAGGUCGGGAUGUGAUCGCGCCCGCCGGGUUCGAGCCCCGUUGUGCCGUGUGGACGUGGGCUGGACUGACGUCUCCCACUGCUGUCGGGCUGUGCGGACACUCCGGUGGACCGGCGAGGGGGAAGUGGGGGAAAAGAUUGCCGUCGACGCGCGUCCCCAACCUGGAGGAGGCAGCGCGCGCACAGUGAGGAACUUAAGAAGCAUCAUGCAAAAUGUCAAACAAAUUAAAUUCAGGGCAGCUGAGCUCAAGAAGCUAUUAAAAG